rnacentral:rRNA from 1 species
CCUACGGGAGGCAGCAGUGGGGAAUAUUGCACAAUGGGGGAAACCCUGAUGCAGCGACGCCGCGUGAGUGAAGAAGUAUUUCGGUAUGUAAAGCUCUAUCAGCAGGGAAGAAGAAAGCCGGUACCUGACUCCGACGCCCCGGCUAACUACGUGCCAGCAGCCGCGGUAAUACGUAGGGGGCAAGCGUUAUCCGGAUUUACUGGGUGUAAAGGGAGCGUAGACGGCUGUGCAAGUCUGAAGUGAAAGCCCAGGGCUCAACCCUGGGACUGCUUUGGAAACUGUGGAGCUAGAGUGCUGGAGAGGUAAGUGGAAUUCCUAGUGUAGCGGUGAAAUGCGUAGAUAUUAGGAGGAACACCAGUGGCGAAGGCGGCUUACUGGACAGUAACUGACGUUGAGGCUCGAAAGCGUGGGGAGCAAACAGGAUUAGAUACCCUUGUAGUC